GUCUACGGCCAUACCACCCUGAACGCGCCCGAUCUCGUCUGAUCUCGGAAGCAAAAAUAAUGCUUAGGUCAGGUGCAGUGGCACACACCCAUAAUCCCAGCAACUUGGGAAGCUGAGGCA
rnacentral:rRNA from 1 species